rnacentral:rRNA from 1 species
AUGGAAGAUGACGAUUCUGUAGGAGAAGAAUGUUGGGAUUUGCUUGAGGAUUUAACUCCAGCGUCCACUCCCUCACCACAUUUUCAGGCCAGUUCUGAGUUUAAUGUAGAAGAUUAUGUCAAUGAAGGUGGAGAUGGAAUUCUAGCAGCACCAUCCUUUUUUGCUGAUGGAGAUGGAAUUUUAGCAGCACCAAAUCAUACUAUGAUCAAUAGUAAUGAAAAAACUCAAGACCCGGGUCAGAGUUGCAGCCUGCUGUCCAGUUCCCCAACUGAGGAUUCUCCUCUUUAUAUGCUUGCUACUUCAGAUGGGGCUCUAAGUAAUAUAUAUGCUAUGGAUGACUUGACAGCCAUGAGUGGCAGUCAUGGAGUACUCCCUUCCAUUCAGGAAAAUGUAGGGGCCAGCAGUAUUGCCUUUGCUGGUACAACUGCAGACAUGUGCUUUGUUAAUAACCCACAGUCUCAAUUCCUUGGUCAGCCUUCAACUUGCUCUUCGCCUGAAAUAAUUGAUCUUACUGAGAUGGAUGACAUGGAUGAAACUGACGAUGUACCAAUGGAAUUAGCACCUAUACCUGAAUUAGAUGUUCUUACUGACAUAGAUCAGACUGAUGACGUACCAAUGUUACUACCUAGGAAGAAUGUCACUCUUGCACUAGAUCUUGAUGGCACCCUUAUCCACUCAGCAAGGUGCGACCAUGGCGCAGACUUCUCAUUCCCUAUGCGCCGUGGGGAAGAAGAGUACACUGUCUACGUGAAGAAGAGACCACAUGUAGACGCCUUCCUUGAAGAGGCGGCUCAUAUGUUUGAGCUUGUUGUAUUUACGGCUAGCACAAGCUCUUAUGCAAACCAAGUGAUUAAUGCAUUGGAUCCUGAGAACAGACUGAUAUCACGGCGUUUUUUCCGGGAGUCAUGUGUCUCGGUAGAUGGAAGCUAUCAGAAGGAUCUGACCAUUAUUGAAGCUGAUCUUGCAAAGGUUGCGAUUGUUGACAAUACCCCUGAGGUUUUCCAGCAACAGGUGAAUAAUGGGAUACCUAUAAAGAGCUGGUCAAGUGACCGGUUUGACAUUUCUCUGCUUGAGCUAAUCCCCUUCUUGGAAACAAUUGCGGACGCGGAUGAUGUCCGGCCGAUCAUUGCAAACAAAUUUGCCAAUUAA